rnacentral:rRNA from 3 species
CCUGGCGGCGAUAGCGCGGUGGUCCCACCUGACCCCAUGCCGAACUCAGAAGUGAAACGCCGUAGCGCCGAUGGUAGUGUGGGGUCUCCCCAUGUGAGAGUAGGGAACUGCCAG